UCGAGAAUUUUUCGCAAUGGGCGCAAGCCUGAUGGAGCGACGCCGCGUGGGGGAUGAAUGGCUUCGGCCCGUAAACCCCUGUCAUUUGCGAUCAAACCUCGCUAUUUAAAAGAUGGCGAGCUGAUAGUAGCGAAAGAGGAAGGGACGGCUAACUCUGUGCCAGCAGCCGCGGUAAUACAGAGGUCCCAAGCGUUGUUCGGAUUCACUGGGCGUAAAGGGUGCGUAGGUGGUGGGGUAAGUCGGAUGUGAAAUCUCGGAGCUCAACUGCGAAGUGGCAUUGGAAACUACCCUGCUAGAGGGUCGGAGGGGGGACUGGAAGUCUCGGUGUAGCAGUGAAAUGCGUAGAUAUCAGAUAGAACACCAAUGGCGAAGGCAGUCACUUGGUCCAUUACUGACGCUAAAGCACGAAAGCGUGGGUAGCAAACA
rnacentral:rRNA from 1 species